CAACCCCUUGGAUCCAGCCAUGCCGCGUGUCUGAAGAAGGCCUUCGGGUUGUAAAGGACUUUUGUCAGGGAGGAAAUCCCGGUGGUUAAUACCUGGCGGGGAUGACAGUACCUGAAGAAUAAGCACCGGCUAACUACGUGCCAGCAGCCGCGGUAAUACGUAGGGUGCGAGCGUUAAUCGGAAUUACUGGGCGUAAAGCGUGCGCAGGCGGUUUUGCAAGUCUGAUGUGAAAGCCCCGGGCUCAACCUGGGAACGGCAUUGGAGACUGCACGACUAGAGUGCGUCAGAGGGGGGUAGAAUUCCGCGUGUAGCAGUGAAAUGCGUAGAGAUGCGGAGGAAUACCGAUGGCGAAGGCAGCCCCCUGGGAUGACACUGACGCUCAUGCACGAAAGCGUGGGGAGCAAACAGGAUUAGAUACCCUGGUAGUCCACGCCCUAAACGAUGUCAAUUAGCUGUUGGGGGUUUGAAUCCUUGGUAGCGUAGCUAACGCGUGAAAUUGACCGCCUGGGGAGUACGGCCGCAAGGUUAAAACUCAAAGGAAUUGACGGA
rnacentral:rRNA from 1 species